UAGCCCCGCCCACUCCAGUGCGUGGAGAAAAACACAAUUUAAAAAGGCCUGAGGGAGGGUCCAAGUUGGCCCAGGCCUGGUUUACACCAUCACAGAGAUGCCUCACCUUUGUGCGGUGCCAGAGUCAGAUGGUGUCAAGCUGGGCAGUGGUGUCGGGGCUCUCCAAGAACUUCUCCGCUGGGCCACCAUCCUUGCACUGGGACACCACCAUCACCAGAAGUCCCGAGGAGGACGAGGAGGAGGCUGAGGAGAGGCCUAAGGGUAAUAAAUUGCUGCAGUAGCUCAAGGACGGCAUAUAUACAGAAUUGUUUCCAAUGUUCAAAGUCAGCAACUUCUGUGCCUCAUUGUAUUUCUAUCUGGCAGCAUUUUGCCCUUCUAAAGGAGAUAUUUUUCAAUGUCGUAAUGGCUCUUUGGUUCCUUCAGAAGAGAUGUAUGAUUUCAUCAGCCCAUGUAAGGAUGGUAAGAAUGCAGAACAAUGUUACUAUAAUGACAAAUGGGAUUUUGAGAAUAGAUUGUUCAAGACGAUCAAUAAUGGGAAGUCACCUACUAACUGGGUAAGGAGCAAUGGAAUUACCAUCAAAGGAUCCCCUCACUCGGAUCACGGUGGAAACAACACAGGUAAAAAAAGAGAACGAAUUUCCUUGUUAGCCAUAAACAUAUCUACUACUAUUGCUUCUUGCUCCUGCUUUGUGCUUCUCUUUGUUGGUAAAACAAACCAGGAUAUAAGUUGUCAUGGUGUCUGAACCACAGAUGUUGAUUUGUGGUCCCCAAACACAUCACAAUUACAAGCUCAUAACAAAAUUCAUCCACAGGAAGCCAGGGGACUUUGAUUUAUUGUUAUGUACAUGUGGCCAGAAUUGACUUCAAAAAUCUAAUAUUCAUUGACUAUCUUUAUCUUGUGGUCCUUUCUUGCCUUGAGUAACUUGAACUUAAUUACACCUUGUCAUUGUGGUUGACCCAGAGCACUUGGUUGAAAGAAUUUGAGUCAUAAGAAAUAAGCCUCAUCAUAUCGAAGCAGAAGAGCACAAUUAUCUCAUUAUUAUGUGGAUACCUUCCUUUAUUACAUGUUUUUCAAUUUAUAAUUUAUCUUUGAAGAUUGCUGGCUGUAGAUAUUUUGUGACAUGCUACCAUUGCAGACAAGAAUUUUGUUUGUUCAUUCAGAAAGCCUGUUAACUCGACCCUCAUUUCAAAAACUGUCUUUAAACAUUUCAUGAAUCUGUAAUUUUAAGACUUGUUUGUUCAUUGAGAAACCCGUUCCCUCCACCAUGUUUUUUAAAAGCUAUCUUUAAACAUUUCCUGAAUCUGUAAUUUUAAGACUUGGAAAGUGUAGUGGAAAGCAUAAAUUGGUUUCUGACCCUAAGCAUUCUUGGUCACUUUGCUGAAU